rnacentral:lncRNA from 1 species
CUAGGUCUCUAUCACUUAUGGUUUACCAGUUAGAAAUGCAUAUCACUUAUCAAUAUAAAAGGGGGAAUAACUCUCAUAUGGAGUCUCCGGAUAGCUUCGGUCAAAAUGAAACAGAUCAUCCUGAGGAUAUAACGAGCAAUUUGGAAAAAUAAAUUUGUCGGUUUCUUUUACGGUUGCGAAGCCUUAGUGGCCACAAGAAAAACAGUGUUCGGGGAGAUAACUCUUACAAGGUAAAGUUUUUUGGUUACGCAGGUUGUCAGUUUUUAGAAGCGCAUAACUGUUCGAUAUCAUAUACCAAUAUCUAAGCGACAUCUUGUGAAACAAAAAAACAGCGAAGGAAAAAAAAGUUAGGCGGAAGAAAAAAAUAAAAAUAAUUAAAAACCAAUUGUUCAAAGAACAAUUGAAGGUCUUUCAACCAAUAAGGAUCUAUUUAUGAUAUGAAAAUAUUAAAAUUCAGUUUGAAAAUGUCAGUUCCUAUGGCUUAAUGAUGUAUAAAUAUGAAUUUUAAAGCAAAGGUCAAAAUCUAGAACGUCCAAUUAACCUAUGACCUUGACCUCAAUUUCAAGGUCAUAGACUAAACAUCUCAAAUAAAAAGACACUAGUUCCUUAAUAUGUAUGGUUCAUGAGUAAAAUCACUUUACGCAUAAUUCUUAAUAUAAGAGGGGCGAAAACUCCCUUUUUAUUGUUUACGCACCCUCGCAACCAAAAUUUAUAAGUUACGACAUGUCGCAACUAACAAUUUAGUAAAAAAAAAUUGUCGAUAUCUUAUAAGGUUAAUGAAAAAAGGUGAAAAUAAGCCAAAAUCAAAAUUAAGAAUUUGACCUUGACCUUUGACCUUGACCUAAUUUUCAUUUUUUUGGACCAAGGAUCUUAAAUCAAAAGACCCUAGGUCUCUAUCACUUAUAGGUUUACCAGUUAGAAAUGCAUAUCACUUAUAUCAUAUAUAAAAGGGGGGAUAACUCUCAUAUGGAGUCUCCGGAUAGCUUCCGUUGAAAUGAAACAGAACAUCCUAAGGAUAUAACGAGCAAUUUGGAAAAAUAAAUUUGUCGGUUUCUUAUACGGUUGCGAAGCCUAGUAGUGGCCACAAGAAAAAAACAGUGUUUGGGGAGAUAACUCUUACAAGGUAAAGGUUUUUGUUACGCGGUGUCAGUUUCAGAAGCGCAUUAACUGUUCGAUAUCAUAUACCAAAUAUCUAAGCGACAUCUUGUGAAACAAAAAAACAGCGAAGGAAAAAAAAGUUGGCGGAAGAAAAAAAAAAAAUAAUAAUAAUAAUAAUAAUUA